CCUACGGGUGGCUGCAGUGGGGAAUAUUGCACAAUGGGCGCAAGCCUGAUGCAGCGACGCUGCGUGAGGGAUGACGGCCUUCGGGCUGUAAACCUCUUUCAGCACAGACGAAGCGCAAGUGACGGUAUGUGCAGAAGAAGGACCGGCCAACUACGUGCCAGCAGCCGCGGCAAUACGUAGGGUCCGAGCGUUGUCCGGAAUUACUGGGCGUAAAGAGCUCGUAGGCGGUUUGUCGCGUUGUUCGUGAAAACUCACAGCUUAACUGUGGGCGUGCGGGCGAUACGGGCAGACUUGAGUACUGCAGGGGAGACUGGAAUUCCUGGUGUAGCGGUGGAAUGCGCAGAUAUCAGGAGGAACACCGGUGGCGAAGGCGGGUCUCUGGGCAGUAACUGACGCUGAGGAGCGAAAGCGUGGGGAGCGAACAGGAUUAGAUACCCGUGUAGUC
rnacentral:rRNA from 1 species